rnacentral:misc_RNA from 1 species
UCUCCGUUGGUGAACCAGCGGAGGGAUCAUUAUCGAGUUUAUAACUCCCAAACCCUAUGUGAACUUACCACUUGUUGCUUCGGCGCGCGCUUCGGUGCCGCCGAGGACACUUAAACUCUUUGUUUUUAUAAGCAUUUCUGAGUGGCCGAAAGGCAAAAUACAAAUGAAUCAAAACUUUCAACAACGGAUCUCUUGGUUCUGGCAUCGUUGAAGAACGCAGC